CAGUGAGCACCGACACCUGCGGGUAGACACGGGCAUGCUGUUCAGUGACUGCAGGCCUUCGCAGAGGGGCAUACACCCAAAUUCUGAGCGUAAGCAAGGGAGACAAAGUAAGACAGAAAUUUCCAGGGCUCAGGACUGAACACAUCAAUCCGCUCCGAGAACAGCUUCUGGAUAUUGCUCAAGAGGUUGGUGUCCAUCGGAGCACUGGAAGGUGGGGGGGAGUCAGAGCCCACUCUGCACACCCUCCCUUUCGCCUCUCUCAGGGAGGCUCCCCUCCUGGCCUGACCUGGGAGUAUAGCUGGGUGCAUAGCGGCCCUGCUGCCGGGAGCUGCUGUACACAGAGAAGGUCCUUUUGCUGGAGUCGCUGCUCUGGGCCUUGCGGACACCCUCUUCAUACAGGAGCCCCACCUGGUGAGGAAAAGAGGUGCUGCCAGGCCAGAGCAUGGGGUACUAGCAGAAAAUGCCCUUACCUACUUGUUAAAGAACCAUACGUAUGGUCACAACUUACAUCCUGCCUAAGGUGUAACGAACGCAGGCAGGGCAAGAAUUAGUUUGAAACCCAAUUCUCAGCCCACCCUUGCUCCAACUCUCUGGGCGACAUUGGGCCUCCACAUCCCUAUAGGUGUGAAAUGGGGGUUCUAGUGGUACAGCGUAAGUACAGCCAGACCCCUUUCGUCUCGGGUCUUGGAGCAGUUAUCCAGGACCCCAGCAUGCAUCAAGGCUCCACCAGCCAGCCUGAGGCAGCACCUGAACGUCAAUAGCUGUGGUGUCCUCCACAACACGCUUCAUGACGGCACGCACAUUCCGGGGCUCCAGAGUACUGAGCCAGUCCCGCGUCUCCACACUCUUGCGUAGCAUCUGCGAUAUGACUAGGCCCUGCACCUUCACAUAGUGAGUCAGCAGCCGCCGUGCUGUCUCUCUGGCCUCCGCACACAGUGUACUCACAGGUGUAACUGGAGACUGAUCCUAAGCCAGGAAAGCACAGGACAAAGGUUGUCAGAACUAGUGACAGGACAGAGGCCACUGCCAGGUAGGAGGUGAGCAAAUCUUGGGAAAGAUGGAGGCUGAGAUGGGUACAAACUGCCAGUCUGGUUCUGGCAACCAGACUCUCCAGCCUCCUGUGUUCCCAGCUCCCUCUCUCCUCUCCUGAGCCACUUCACCUGCACCAGAAACUGUUCAUCAGUGAGUGUGAGGAUGUAGGAGAUGGUGGCCGUCUCAUAAUCCAGGCAGAGGCGAGAGAGCAGCAGGAGCAGGGCGGGUGGAGUGGCACCUCCCUUUUCUCCAGGGCUGUCACAGAAGCUCUGGGCUGUCUGGCACAUGGAGCGGAUGAAACCCACGAUGAGGCCCUCUCGGACUCCCUGGCUGCAGAACUCGCCCUGUGAAGGGAGGCCCAGAUCCAUAGCCAGUCCUCUCCUAGGACAGAGUUCAGCAAAGCCAGACAUGGGACUGUCCCUGCCCUUUGCCUGAAACCCUCCUCUAAAGGAUAACCCCAUCCUGCUUCCCUGCCCAGCAGGUGGCAGGGCUGGCAGGCAUGAGGUCCCCGAUACCCCUGUCUUUAACCCAGCUGCAUAGUGUCUCCUCCUCCAGACUGCCCCCUGAGAAGGUAAAUCUACAUCCAGAGUACUUGGGCAGGGCUGUCUGGGCUCUGGUGACUUGUCCCUAGUUCACCAAGCCCUAGUAAAAGGGUGCUGGCGGGCCAGUCAGCAAAUGAAUAAUCACAGCCCAAGCACAGACAUACCCUGAAGUAGGGCUUAUUGGAGAAGGACACCUCCUUGGCAGUGAAGAGAUGCACAGAGGCCAGAGAAGCCUUGAUGUGGCUCAGGAUGGAGCUGGACACAUUGGCCAGCAACUCAGCCAAGCUGGGGCCUUCCUUCCCAGCCAGGCGAGGUGCCGCCAGGGCCUGGCGAACAUCUGUCAGGCAGCUCAGGAAGGCAGCCCUCAGACCCUGCAGAUGGUGGCUCAGGCGCUCCCGGGCCACUCGCUCCACAAUCUCCGUGGCUGACUCUGAAAGGCCAGCAGCGGCCAGCAGGGCCCCUGGUGCUCGCAGGCGCCGGUGGAAGCGAUCUAGUGCCCGCACCAGCAGCGAGUUGUCACUGCCACCCUGUUCCUGUGCCAGCCGCCGCUCCACCAGUGCAAAGUAGCGGCCGCCCAACUCCUGCGCAAAGGCUGCCAGUUUCUCCGCACCAGCAGGGCCCUGAGCAGCAAACAGCUCCUGGUAGGCCGCUGCCACCUGGCAGAGGCCACCCACGAAGCCACUGCCGCCACGGUCAGUGAACUCUAACACGUCGGGGGCGGGAGGGGAGGGCCCAAGCUCGUUCUCCAGGCUGCUCAGUUCUUCUUCUAGCCGCCCCCGAGCAUUUGCCAGGAACUCCUCGCACAGCUCCUCGGCCGGCUCACCCAGGGCUAGCAGCAGCUCCACGCACUCGGCCUGCUCCGGGGCACCCGAGCAACCUUCCCUGUGGUAUAGAAAAUGCAGUGAGGGCGGCUGGUGGGCCACAGGAGAGACAGAAUGUGGGCCACCCUUGAUGUGACUGAAGCACGAGAACCAGGCCCACAAACCACACCUGAAGCGCUGCCGCAGCUGCUGGGCCAAGCGGGCUGUGAUGACCUGGCAGUCAUCCUGGAUAGCUCGGAAGGAGGGCAGGUGCUGGUACUGCUGCAGCACGGCCCUGGCACGACCCUGGUAGCGCACGGCCUGUCCAUAGGCACCCAGCUCCACGCACUUGGUGAGGCGCGAGGGCAGCUCGAAAAGGAACUGCAGCUUUCGCAGCAGCGCGUGCACCCCUAGGGCACAGGAACGGCAUGUGAGCUGCAGAGCCCAGGGCGGCUGGCUGCAGGGCCUGGCCAGCACAGCGCCUACCUGCUAGCUUGGUGAUGCGCUCGUGCCGGUCCUGUAGUGUGGCACUGAUGCGUGCGCUGAAGUUGGUGAUCACUGCCAUGUUGGUGGCCAGCCGGUCCAUCUCAUCCUCCAUCUUCCGGAAGUCAUUCUUCAUCUUCCGAAUGGUGUCUAAAAGGAGCCAACAGAGUGAAACGGAAGUGACUAAAGCAGAGAGGAGCAGCUCUCACUGGUACCAGUGAUUUGCCUGAAAUGGCUUGGAUCUUGGCCACAGCAUGUUAUUGUUGGUAUAAUAAGCCCUGCUUACCCCUGUCCCUGGUAUGGAAGGGAGAGGCUGAGACUACUUAAAAUUGGAGGGAACGUGUUUUUAAAAAAAAACAAAAAACAAAAAAAUAAAAAGCACCCAGCUACUGUCCUGACUGA